GUCCGAUUAGCUCAGCUGGUAGAGCGCUUCGUCGACAUCGAAGAGGUCACAGGUUCAAGUCCUGUAUCGGACACCA
rnacentral:tRNA from 4 species